GGUUCCCUGGGGCAUUUGCCAAUCAAAAGUGUUCUUGACCCGAUAAUUUUGCAACCGGAGGCUAUCUCGAAAGAAGUUGUUGUGCAUGUCCGGCUGACGGAAAGCCUUAUGCUUCGCGAGGGCCACCACCUGAACCCCAGGGUUCAGGGCAACUUUGGUAGCGGUGUCUUGGGGGACUG
rnacentral:other from 1 species